CUCUAGACCCUGAAUUCUGACCUAAAUUUCUUGUGACUCCAUUUCCUGUAGAACCAUUGGCACCAAUCUCUCAUGUCCAGCAAUAGAGCUCUCCUUAAAUGGGCACUUCUUAUCAAUGUAGCUUGCUUGUAAUGUAUUGGCAACACAACUAUCAGUGAUUUUAUCCUAUGAAUUCUUCAUCCAAGUCAUGACAUCUUGCAUUCUAGGCUUCACAAAAUUUCCAUGCUGAUUCUCUCUAUUCUAUUUUCAGUGUAGUCAUUAUUUAUUUAUAUAUUAUUAUUAUCAUUUUAUAAUUCAUUAUGACUGGUGUAUAUUGCAAUGGACAUAUUAAAUGUGUCCAUUGCAACAUAUGACCUGGCUGAUGAUUGUAACUGCGGCUUAUUUUUGAUUUAGUGUUAUAUUACAAGCAUACUGAAAAAUCAUGCUAGGGCUUAUUUUCAGGUAAAUAUGCACUAGGACCUUAAAAAGUGCUCAUUAGGUGAGAAUUUGUAAAUCAGAAAUUCAUUUCCCAUUAUUCCAAUAUAAAAAUUUUUAAUUUGUUCUUAGUAUCAAAAUGUUGUUGCUCUUUUACUAUUGAUGGUAAAGCACUCCAAAAGCAUUAAUAGAAAUACAAUUAUAAAUAAUAAUAUUAUAUAAUAGUUAUGAUAUUUAUUACCUAUGUA
rnacentral:lncRNA from 1 species